CAACGCUGCGCGCGACACCACGUUUUCUAAGAAAAUACAUGUGAAUUAUCCUAGUAGGGAACUCAUUUUUCCCGACACACUUGAAUGCAUGAGAUCCCUGGCAAGUGACUACAGGACCACAGAAACAACAUGUCAAACAGGCCCCAGUAAACGAUGGCAGUUGACACUGAGCCAGCAUCCACAAUAGGACCCUGAAACUAAAGCAGGGGCUGGUUCUCCUGCAGCAGAUGCAACCUCUGAUUCUGGUCCAGACCACCUGCCUCCAGCACCAAUGCAAAGUGCUCUAUGUAGCGCAGUGAGAGGCGGUCCUGCAGGGAGGAGAUCACAUCCUGGAGAAGAGAAAUGAAAACAGAUUAGAAAUUGAAAGAGAUUUCCACAGUAAGAAUGUGCUUUAAUGCAACAAAAAAUAUGUAUUUGGCGUAUAGAGGCUUAUUUUCUCCCUGAAGUCACUCCAGGUUUGUCUAGGGUAGUUUGUCAAUUGUAUAUCUUUGUGAUCUGUUUAGGCUCUUUACUUUGAAAUCAUUUGUCAUUUUUUGCUAUGGAGAGAAUCCAUAGAUAUUAUAAAUUCUGCACAGUGAGUGCGUCCUAUUUAAGAAAAUAACGUCUGCAUGCCAGGGUGUGCAGGGCAAGCUCUUGUGCAGAUCAAUAUCUUGGAAUGAUGUAGCUCUUUUCUCAUAUCCUCUUUCUAAAAUGUACAGAGAACACUGUCUGAGGGGAAAUUCACUGUUUAUCACAUCUUACCAUGGGCUAUACCUGAGGAUAAUGUUUCAUUAUUUCUUUGCCCUUUUAAUAUAUUAGAGGUAUGAAAAAUUAAAAGGGAUUCCACUGUAGUGAUAUGUUACUGUAAGCAUGUGAGUAUGGAGGCUCAUUAAAAGCUUUAAAGUAUGUACACUAAUGCUGUGCUCUCCACAAACAGUUAAACUGACACUCCCUGAUGUAACCUAAGCAACAACUGUCUCUGAAAAACAGGGAUAAGCAGAUGUAACAGUAUUGACCUGUGCGGUUUGCAUUAAAUGACACCUGGGGAAGCCACACAAUUAACUGAAAGACCCACAGAAAGCUAUAGAUUGCAGCUUAAAAUACUGCAGGAAAGCUUCUUUAGUUGACAGACAGUCUAAUGGGCAUACAACUGGGCAUCCUAUUGUGCCACUGAUUUAAUCGGUGGUAUUGUUUUAUUGAUAUGGGCCUUCUUAUGCUGAAUUUCCAUUUAAUUAAGCUGACAGGGGCGAGCUUCUUCCAUGUCUCCUUUAAAGUGCCUCUGUGUUUCUCCUUUUCUCGCUCACUCUCCCUCCAUGAGUAGGGGAGAGAUUUGUGAAAUCUAAUAGAGUCCGUUUAAUGAGUCUGCUCGGAGAUGUCAGACUCAUCUUAGAGGCUGACAUGGAGACAGAAAUGACCUCUGUCUGACUGAAUUAAUUUGUUGCUUUAUGGUCUUCAUCACAAUACUGAGAUUUUAAAUUCCAAAAACUGAUAGGGUGAAGUUUCACAAAUUAAAGGAGUUUUUUUCUGUUUA